rnacentral:misc_RNA from 1 species
GGGCAAUAUUACAAUCACUUCCCAAGGCAUGCUGUUUUUAGCAUGACAAAGAUUGAAAAAAAGAACUAAGCUUUACAGAUAUAAACAACACACACACAUGAAGAAAUAUAAUUAGAAGUUAAAAGAAAAAACUUGACCCUUCUUACAUUUUUUUUAUUAACAGAUAUUAUACCUGUAUAAAAGUUAAAUUAAGGUGAGAAUAAACUACAACCUUCCACCAUUUAAACCAACUAGAAAAAAACUUACCAAAGUCAAGUUCCAGAUAGGAGCAUACGCUAUACAUAUGUACAAGUUGAUUACAUAACUUAUGUGCAGUCUGAUUCAGGUCCAAAAAGAUCGAUGAUGUUACCACGUACCAAAGCUGCAACCUACAUGCUCUUGGGUGAUAAUGUGAAGUCGAUCUUGCAUGGCAUCCAUGGAUGGAUAAGGAGGAAAGCAUAGGCGGAAGAAGCACGUGUGUGAAGAAGGCAAACGAUCAUUUGACUCU